rnacentral:rRNA from 1 species
GUGGGGAAUAUUGGACAAUGGGCGAAAGCCUGAUCCAGCAAUGCCGCGUGAGUGAAGAAGGCCUUCGGGUUGUAAAGCUCUUUUACCCGGAAAGAUAAUGACUGUACCGGGAGAAUAAGCCCCGGCUAACUCCGUGCCAGCAGCCGCGGUAAUACGGAGGGGGCUAGCGUUGGUCGGAAUUACUGGGCGUAAAGCGCACGUAGGCGGUCUUUUAAGUCAGAGGUGAAAGCCCGGGGCUCAACUCCGGAAUUGCCUGUGAAACUGGAAGACUUGAACACGGGAGAGGUGAGUGGAAUUCCGAGUGUAGAGGUGAAAUUCGUAGAUAUUCGGAGGAACACCAGUGGCGAAGGCGGCUCACUGGACCGUUGUUGACGCUGAGGUGCGAAAGCGUGGGGAGCAAACAGGAUUAGAAACCCGGGUAGUCC